rnacentral:rRNA from 1 species
GACGAACGCUGGCGGCGUGCCUAAUACAUGCAAGUCGACCUUAGUGGCGACCGGGUGAGUUACACGUGGGUAACCUGCCCCUCAGAAGGGGAUAACACUUUGAAACAGGUGCUAAUACCAUAUACUGCUGGAUGGACCCGCGGUGCAUUAGCUAGUUGGUGAGGUAACGGCUCACCAAGGCCACGAUGCAUAGCCGACAUGAGAGGGUGAUCGGCCACAUGGGGACGGAGACACGGCCCAAACUCCUACGGGAGGCAGCAGUAGGGAAUCUGCGGCAAUGGACGAAAGGCGGACCGAGCAACGCCGCGUGAGUGAAGAAGGUGUUCGGAUCGUAAAACUCUGUUGUUAGAGAAGCGGUAUCUAACCAGAAAGCCACGGCUAACUACGUGCCAGCCGCCGCGGUAAUAC